UUGUGACUCAGGUGCAGCUCUCUCAGACUAGAGGAGUUUGAGCUGAGAGCUGAGGCCAGAGACCCACAGCAUUUCUCAGUGAGGUUACAGCAUUUCAGCCUGGGAAUAAAUAUGAAGUUUACAGAGUGGACCCUCCAGGACAGCAGAGAGCAUCUUCACACCUGAGUCUCCUGGUUGGUUGUUGGUCAGGUCCAGCUCUCUCAGAUGUGAGGGGUUUGACCUCAGAGCUGAAGCCAGAGAAGCACAGCUCUCCUCUGUGACUCCACAGCCUACCAUCCUGCAGACAGAGUGGUUUGUUUGUAUAAUAUGCAUUUACAUAGGACACGAGGACAUUAUUCAUGUUCAAACAUACAAUUUAGUUUUCCUUUAUGAACAUGAAUGAAAUAAACAUCACCUCAGUGUU